rnacentral:rRNA from 1 species
UACGUAGGGCGCAAGCGUUGUCCGGAAUUAUUGGGCGUAAAAGAGCUCGUAGGCGGUUUGUCGCGUCUGCUGUGAAAAACUCGAGGCUCAACCUCGGGCUUGCAGUGGGUACGGGCAGACUAGAGUGCGGUAGGGGAGACUGGAAUUCCUGGUGUAGCGGUGGAAUGCGCAGAUAUCAGGAGGAACACCGAUGGGCGAAGGCAGGUCUCUGGGCCGCAACUGGACG